UUGACUACUAUUCCAAUACGAAUACCUAAAUCUCCAUACUUUACCAUUUAAAUCUUCGAAAUUCAACAAAACCCCUUUUGAAUUAUUUCCAUUUUGUAAUGGAAAAUGUUUUUCAGCAUGUUGUUUUGGUAUCACAAGCCUAUUAAGUUUCCCAACGUCACUUGGUGUAACAACUUUUUCAAAUAGUUGUUCACGCGCUUUGCAAUUGACUUUAUCAUUUGUACUACCAAAGAACGAACUAAUUACUAGUCCAUCUUUCCUUUUUAUCAUACCGUCUUUAGUAAAUCCAAACAAUCUCUUGCUUUGUUCCAACUCAUCGAUAUACGUAUGUUUACGUAACAUGUCAACGAUCUCCGCCUUGGAAUGUGAAUUCAAGAAAGCGAUUUCCAUGUCAUCGCUUUCUUGAUUCUCAAGCAAGGGUUUGAAAUUAGUUACAGCGUCGCGGCCCCUGAAUCUCUGGGCCGCGAUGUCAUAAGCCCUAGCGGCUUCAUUUUCCUCGUUGAAUGUGCCUAACCAUACCCUCUGAUGCUUUUCAUAGAUUUGUGCGCCCCAACGACCAUUUGGUUGUGGGACCACACCUUUGUACCUUGAAGAUGGGAGUUUUCUUGAUUCAGCUUCAACACCAUUUUCAGCAUCAAUUAUCACACUUGUUCCACUCCCCAUCCGGCAAAGACCACUCUCCGGCGGCGGUUUUAUCGUCGUCGACGAUUUAAUCAUCGUCGAUGACGACGCGGCCGGAGCAAUGGAGAGAGAGUCACUAGUAGUACUCUCUUGAUCUAUGCUACUAAUACUUCCUUCCAUUUUUUUUUGGUGUCUGUGUUGUUUUGUCUUUUUUGAUGAGAAAAGGAAAAUUAGGAAGAAAAAAAAUAAGUAGAAGAAUUG
rnacentral:misc_RNA from 1 species